rnacentral:tRNA from 2 species
GGGGCUGUAGCUCAGUUGGCAGAGCGCUUCCAUGGCAUGGAAGAGGUCUGGGGUUCAAUUCCCCACAGCUCCAC